rnacentral:ncRNA from 1 species
CGAUUUUCUAAAGCGCCAGGACUAUGCAAUCGAACGCGAGAAAGCAUAGUUGACGAGGUUGGAGGUUAUCGAAUGUUCGGCGGGUGCCUCCCGAUUGUACAUCUCAAUUGUUACGCUCUUCCUUAAAACAACGAGGUAACUUGUUGGCCAAAGGGAAAUGGCAAGGUGUUAC